CUGAAUCAGUAUGUUCUAUUUUGCCGGUACAGGAACUCUUAUAGUGUUUGGCACACUUUUUUCACUUAAUCCAGCCCCACGUUGACAACGUCACACCCCGGAUGCUACAAAUGACCUGACAGAGGGCAUACUCUCCUAGAGUUUUGCUCUAACUCAUGAUGCCAAAAAUCAGUUAAAUAUGCCCUCUGUGCCGGAUUGUUAUUUGGAAUACUGGGUGUGACAUUGUCGUGAUGAAGCUAUCAGAGAUGUACUUUUCUGCAGAAUGAUUUCUUGUUUCGAUGACUUUAUCAUGUAAAUGUAAAUAUGUCAGAUAUCAGCUUACUGAUUCCACCUUUCUACUCACCAUUUCUUUGGCAUUGGAAUCAGGCAGCAAGAGAUUUCAGCUUAUUGAUUUGGCAGUAUAAUUUAUUUCUUGCAUAGUGCAGAUUAAAACCAGUAUAAUUUAUUCUCUUGGUGUGCUCUCACUUACUCAUAGUCGCAUUUUCAGUUCAUUAGAGCAGCCCCUCUAGGCACGGGCGAUAUGGUUACCACGUCAAUCUCAGCAGCAAAAUGGUGAGCAAAGGGCUUCCGGCUAGUGACACAACAAUAGGAUACAGCCAUGGAUAUCACUCAGGUUCUGCUAGAUGCUCAAUCUCCAGAUGCUAACCUUCGAACAGUAGGAGAAAGCAACCUCACACAGUUCCAGGAGCAGAAGCUUUAAGCUACGCUCAACUGUCUGUGUGACUCAGAUUUGAUGCAAACCGUGUUAUAAAAAAAGACAUGUUGUAAUUUGUUCAUUUCAAAUCAAUGUCUGUUCCAAUCUAUGUGUCCUAUCACUAUUGAUUAUACUUCUAUUCUGUACAGGUACUACUUUCUCAACUUGGGUAGCAGCAACAAUAAGAUCUGAAGCUUUCUAUACAAGUACCUGCAGAUGGUUUUGCUGUGAUCUUAGUGGCAAAUUGUUGUGAUAUUCACUGAACAGAAAUGGCAGUGCUGUUGCUGGUGGUUGCCUGUGGCCCUAGUUUAGUAGUGUUACUGUUGCUAGUGGUUGCCUAUGGCCCUAGUUUAGUAGUGUUACUGUGAAUUUGGUUGAGUUGUGAGUCAAGUACUGAUGUUAAGUACUGAUGUCCCUAGUUAUCUUGCUACUGAUGUCAAGUUAGUUGUGAGUCAAGUAAUGAUGUUAAGUGAGUUAUGCAAUAACUUAUGUUGCCACUUUGUGGAAUCUUUUAGUCAUUUCAAUGUUAUUAAAAAAAUGCAUUUUUCAUUCC